ensembl:lncRNA
AUGAUCGGAAUCGUAGGAAAGUUAUUAUUGCUGUAUAUCUCUUUGGUCCAGACGAAUCCACCUCAGUCUGUGAAGAUCUCUGUUACAGAUGCUGACACAGUGUAUGAGUGCAGUGCAGAUGCCAACACACCCACUCAGUACACAUGGACAAGAGAGGGUCAGCCCCUACCCAGUACUGGGGUGAGGGCAGAGGGCCACAGACUGGUGUUCCUGGAGUUCACUUCUGAGCUGAAUGGCCUGUACACCUGUGAGGUCACAACCCCCGAAGGGGCCCAAAGGGCCACAAUCACUCGCUAUGUAACGACCGGAGGAUCUAAAAUAGACUUUUCUCUGUUAGCUGUGGUGACCAUUGGGGCUGUUCUCAUCGUCACACUCUGGCAAUGUGUCAAAAGGAGGAAACAACAGAGAAGUUUGAAAGCUCUACUCCCAUACCACACCUGAGCUUUUUAAUCAAUGUGCUGAUGAAUCAUAUUUAUGAAUUAUAUCUACAAUUAUAUCUUUAUGUUCCUCCCACGGUUUUGGUUUAAAUAAAAACAUAUUUUUGCAACA